GCUGUCGGCAUUGACCUGGACGGGAGGUUCCGGCUCUCUCUGCCUCCCCGCCCCCAUCAUUAACGCGUGGCGCCCCCCACCCCCGAGCAGAGGCGUUUCCAAGGGUCCCCCUGUUCACGCGCAGGAAAGGCCGCGGGCUGCCGCCUCCGAGCCGCGCGGAGCCUGACGGCCGCAGGAGCCAGCGCCAGGUGCGGGAUGAGGAGCCCGCGCCCCGGCCCGUAGUGGGGGCUUGGCAAACGUUUGCGGGGUAAGCGACCCCCCCCCCCCAGGAGCGGAGGAAAACCAUCUCUGAGGCAGUCAUUGUCCGGAACUCCCCCCGCCCCGGCGAGGGAGGGAGGGGCUUUGUCCGAAGGGAAUCAGGGGCCGUGCUGAGGCAGGCUCCCGGCCCCCCCCGCCCCCCAGCAGGAAGGGGGGAACACGCAGCGGCGGGGGCGGGGGCGGGUUGAUUCCCUCCGCGCGCCCGCUGUAGCCGCCCUCCUUCUCCCGGCUGCUUCGGGGGGACUGAAUUUGCAAUUCAGGGGCUUUGGCCGGUGCGCAGCGUUAACCGCCCGGGGACAGCGAAGCGCCCGCGUCCGCCCCGCGCCCUCCGGCCAGCCAGAGGGGGCGGAGCGCUCCGCGGCGUGCUCUCUGACUCAUCCCCGCCCGGACCGGGAAGCGGCCGCCGGCGGGCCCCGGGAUUCUCGGGCCCGGGCGGGCCCCGAGGCCGGCGCUGCUCUGCGGGCUCUGCCUGCGCGCCGGCUGCUCGGACCCCUUUAUUGUAUGCGCGCCGGGAGGUGCCUGGGCGUCCCCAGCGCGGGCGGGCCCGUGCCCAGGAUGCUCGGAAGCAGGCAUAAGGGCAGGCACGCGCGGGGGCCCCCCCAGGCGCGGCGGAGCACGCGCGCACGCCCAGAUUUAGACAUGGCCAGAGACCCCAAAGGGAGCCGGGCCCGGCCCGGCCAGAAGCGACAGCACAGCGCUACCCUCUACCACAGUAACUGUGACCUGAACUAUGAGCUGUAUCGGGAAGACUUCCCCUACAGGGUGUAUGAAUAUCAGAGGAUCCCCCCACUUAUCAACCGAGCGCCUGUCAAGAGCAGACGGACUCACAUGGGAACAGGGGGCAAGAGUGGCCUCAACCCCCACAUCCCCCCACGAAGCAACAACCCACCCCCUGUCCGGACAAAGUUAAGAGCUGAGGAGCUGCACUCGAUCAAGGGGGAGCUGAGCCAGAUCAAAGCCCAGGUGGACAGUCUGCUCGAGAGUCUGGAGCGCAUGGAUCAGCGGCGAGACCGGCUGGGAGGGCCCCAAGACAGUGAGAAGAAGGUGGCCUCGGCCGGCGGGGAGUCCUCCAGUGCGGCCACGGAGGCCCAGCGGGAGCCCAGGGGCAAAGAGAGCCCGGAGGCCAGAGCUCGCAGCCGCAGGGAGGCCGACAGUGCUGAAGAGAGCACGGACACGGAGGAGGCGGUGAGGAUGAAAAACCACACAUCGGACCCUGACGGGAGCCAGUAGAAGCACUGGGGCCCUUCCUGGGUCGGCCUCCCAGCCGGUGCCACGUGAGACCUGCCCUCCAGCCUCUCCUCCAGAAGCUGGGCACAAGUCCCUGAGGUGCAGGCCUAGAGAAUGGGCCUGGGGAGGCAGGAAAAUCCAGCAGGUCUAGAAUUUCCCUUUGAAAAAACUCCACCCUCCUUUCCUCUGUGCUGUUUCCCCCACCUCAUGAAAAAGGGGUUCCCUUGGUAGUAAGGCUUGGCAGGACGGGCAUUUGGGGGAAGCAUCUGGGCCAACAAUUCCAAGUUCUUCCCAAAUUGCUCAGUGAUGAUUUUCAGUUCCCCGUCCCCACCGGGUACCCACUCAUUUCUUCUUGAAGAAACAUUCCCAGGGGUAGAAACCCCCCCAUCUCUUGGACAGUCAGUCCAUUUACAACAGUAUUGGCUCUCUUCCUGGCUCCAGCAGACACGACCCAGGUUUUGCUCUCAAUAUUAGCCAUUCGACACAGAAACCCCCAGUGUUCCUUAUGGGGCUCCCCCAGCUUUCUUUCUGCCCAGCCAGUGUUGGGGAGACAUUGGCCGCAUACCCCCUCAUCCCCGCGAUGUGAGGUGAGAUCGAUACCAUUCUGUGCUUUCUCUGGUCCCCGAGAACCCCUACCAAGCCAGGCCAAGGGCAGCCGCCUCAGCUCCUGGUGGCUCAUCAAGGUUCCCCCUUUUCCCAGCACCCCGUGGCUUCAAUGUUUUGCACUAUUAGCCUUCAUGUGACCCCUUCUUCUCCCCCGGCCCCUGCAGAAUUCCAUACCCACAGUGGUGCAUGGGAAAUGAGUUCUGUUUCCGACAGGUGCGUUUCUGCUCCGUAGAAGAUAAGUCAGGUCCUUGGUCGAUGUUGCCCCGGUUAGCCCCGUUACUUCCUUGUCCCCCCUUCCCCCAUGCUGUCCUUUCAGAACAGGUGUAGUUCAUUCUUAUGUCCAGUUUCUAGCUUGUCUUCUUGCUGGUAUGAUACUGUGUAUUUCAAAUCUGCUCUGGAAAAGUGUAUUGUGUUGAAAGGAAAAAAAAUUAAAAGUUUGUAUUUCUUUUCUCUGGUUAAAUCGAUUCUGUAUGAGUUCCUUCUCUGCUCUCCCCCAACCACGUUGCAGGCCCUGGGCCCUUCCAGGGUUCCUGGGACCGACCCUCCAGAUCAAAACACC
rnacentral:lncRNA from 1 species